AUUGAUUCUAUGGGGAAGGGCAUAAGAGACUGUAGAAGGAUUGACAUUGUUGUGGCCGAAAACCUUGCCCGAUUUUUUUGCAUGUUGUACAACAGACCGGAAGGGAGUAUUGGACCAUAUUCUGUUGUACAACCAAAUAUCCCAUCCUAGCCAAACCUACAUGACUGUGGAGUUAUAAUGUUACAAGCUAUGGAACUUUGGGAUGGACAUGAUAAAUUCAAUGGCAAAAGCAU